rnacentral:rRNA from 1 species
CCCUUAGAUGUUCUGGGCCGCACGCGCGCUACACUGAUGCAUUCAACGAGCCUAUCCUUGACCGACAGGUCCGGGUAAUCUUUGAAUCUGCAUCGUGACGGGGAUAGAUUAUUGCAAUUAUUAAUCUUCAACGAGGAAUGCCUAGUAGGCGCAAGUCAUCAGCUUGCGUCGAUUACGUCCCUGCCCUUUGUACACACCGCCCGUCGCUCCUACCGAUUGGGUGUGCUGGUGAAAUGUUCGGAUGGGCCGUUUGUCGCGGUUUCCGCGUCAUGUGGCUGAGAAGUUCAUUAAACCCUCCCACCUAGAGGAAGGAGAAGUCGUAACA